rnacentral:rRNA from 1 species
GUGCAGCAGUCGCGAAACCUCCGCAAUGCGGGAAACCGUGACGGGGUCACCCCGAGUGCCACCCGAUGAGGGUGGCUUUUCCCCGGUCUAAAAAAGCCGGGGGCAAUAAGCGGGGGGCAAGUCUGGUGUCAGCCGCCGCGGUAAUACCAGCCCCGCGAGUGGUCGGGACGUUUAUUGGGCCUAAAGCGUCCGUAGCCGGCUCGGUAAGUCCCUCCUUAAAUCCACGGGCUCAACCCGUGGGCUGGGAGGGAUACUGCCGGGCUAGGGGGCGGGAGAGGCCGAGGGUACUCCCGGGGGUAGGGGCGAAAUCCGUUAAUCCCGGGAGGACCACCAGUGGCGAAGGCGCUCGGCUGGAACGCGCCCGACGGUGAGGGACGAAAGCUGGGGGAGCAAAGGGGAUUAGAUACCCGGGUAGU